GCCAGACUCCUACGGGAGGCAGCAGUGGGGAAUAUUGCACAAUGGGGGAAACCCUGAUGCAGCGACGCCGCGUGAGCGAAGAAGUAUUUCGGUAUGUAAAGCUCUAUCAGCAGGGAAGAAAAAAAUGACGGUACCUGAGUAAGAAGCACCAGCUAAAUACGUGCCAGCAGCCGCGGUAAUACGUAUGGUGCAAGCGUUAUCCGGAUUUACUGGGUGUAAAGGGAGCGUAGGCGGCGCGUUAAGUCUGAUGUGAAAACCCGAGGCUCAACCACGGGAGUGCAUUGGAAACUGGCGGGCUGGAGUGCCGGAGAGGUAAGCGGAAUUCCUAGUGUAGCGGUGAAAUGCGUAGAUAUUAGGAGGAACACCAGUGGCGAAGGCGGCUUACUGGACGGCAACUGACGCUGGGGCUCGAAAGCGUGGGGAGCAAACAGGAUUAGAUACCCGCGUACCA
rnacentral:rRNA from 1 species